UUUUUUUUUUUACAUUUAUUUAUUUUUGAGACAGAGAGAGACAGAGCAUGAACGGGGGAGGGUCAGAGAGAGGGAGACACAGAAUCUGAAACAGGCUCCAGGCUCUGAGCUGUCAGCACAGAGCCCGACGCAGGGCUCGAACUCACGGACCGCAAGAUCAUGACCUGAGCCGAAGUCGGCCGCUUAACCGACUGAGCCACCCAGGUGCCCCUGGUCUUGGUUUUAAUGGUCUUUGCUGUCAGUGGAUUUUUUUUUUUAAGUUUAUUUAUUUAUUUUGACAGAGAACAAGUGGGGGGGGGGGGAGGGGGAAGGGACAGAGAGAGAGAGGAGGACAGAGGAUCUGAAGCAGACUCUGCUGAGUGCAGACAGCCUGAUGCAGGGCUGGAAUUCCGGAACUGUGAGAUCAUGACCUGGGCUGAAGUUGGAUCUUUAACCAACUGAGCCUGCCAGGCCCCCAUAAUAUACUGCCUUCUGCGGGCGCACUGUCAAUGAAUGUUAAAGCGGUGUUCAAAACUCACCACACAUGUCUUUGCUAAUAAGUUUUGCUAAUUAACGUUCUAAAAGAUAUGCUUUUGCACAAAAGUAUAAAUCUAUAAGGGAGAAACAGAUACAUUCUCUGGAAUUAGUUCAAUGGAGAUGGGAAUGGGAAGGGCUUAUGAAGGUUAUGAGUUGCAUUCUUUUGCUGUCCUGUGUGUUGGGUGUGCAUGCAUGCACAUCCGGUGCCAUGGACCUGCCUGAGGACUUGCCCUCACUUAGUCCAGUCAGCCUAAAGCUUGGCCUUUUCAUUUGGUUUCCUUUUCUAAUUGAUGUACCCUAGCCUGAAAAGUUCUCAGAGUUAAACAUGAGCUCUAUACCAUUGCAUCCUUUACCAUGGACAGUGGGAUUGCUAAUGCUAUUCAAUUCUUUGGAGCAGGGGACCUGCCUAUGACCAGGACUGCCAUGGCUAUGUCUCCAUGUGGCCAUUGUUGAAAUAAACCCAGUGAAGUCUUUUUCACUGGCUCCUUCAUUUUCACUUGACCAGAUCCCUCUGGUUUUAUUUCCUGAACCCAAAUAUAGCCCCCUGCAUUUGAUGGGUGUGGCCGACAGGAGCUGCCUUUCUGCCACCUUUCCUUUCCUCUUGAGCCCGCUGCACUCUGGAACCUGCUCCUCAACCCAGUGAACUAACUCUCGCCAAGGUCACCAGUGCUGUCUCACCUGACUGCCACAAUGACUGCAGGCCUUCGCCGACAUUCUCCCCAUAGCAGCGUGCUGUUCCCCACUCAAGGAAUAAAAAGAGUGCACACCCUUGGAGGGAAUGAAGAGCUAGCACUGCAUGGUGUCGCCAGUCACUGCUGGGAUAGGAGGGAUGGGCCCCCGAGAGGCCAAGGAGACCGUAACCAAUGGGGGGAACCACCGGAGGAACUCAGCACGCACACGUUACUCAGGUUGGAAGCAAAAUUAAAACCUAGCACCACUGGUGGGUGCUAUGGAGGGGCCGGGGACUUGAGAAUGCCACCAUGGAGAAAGCCAGUCCCCCCAACAGAUGCAAGAGGGGCAAUGCAGAACUCAAAGGACAGAGCAGCAGAAGCGUGGACAGACUUGAGCUGGCAGUUUUAGGUCCGUAAACUUUGCUUCUCAGAGCUGUGUUCAAAUUGGGGUGAGAGAUGGUGUGUGGAAAGGGGAGCUCACUUCGGCAGCACAUAUACUAAAGAAAAAAGGGGAGGCCGGUGCUAGUGUCCAGUGAGAGGUGGUGCAGAUGGGGAUCAAAAUAACAUUUUGCAGUUGGCAUAUAGCUGCUGCCCUACCUCCUUCAAGCUCGUGUUAGAGGUGAGAAUAAUUCUGCCCUGAGAAGCAACAAAAAGAUGUGGGCACAGGACCCAAGGAUUCUGUUUGAAUAUAUCCCUAUGAUAAUAUAUCAUUUUUCAGUUUUAA